UGGUCGUCCUCGGCCUUUCCGUUGGCGGACUCCUCAUCGCCCUCCUCGACGCACUUCAUCGCACUGCAGCAGCGGUCGGUGAAAAUUUCUUGAAACCGCUAGAAUUAUUCUGCAGCGCCAUAAGUGGGGUCGGAGGGGCAGCCAUGGGAGAGGUCAAUAUAUUUCGCGAAAUCGUGGCGUCGAAGGAAAUCACCAUAACAGCAGCUGGCUUAUGGGUCGUUAACCGGGGAACGAUUAGCUCGGCAAGCCUAGUGAGAUUACUGACGUAACCGCAACUUGUCCGAUUAACUAACAC